AAUAGAUACCCAGGUAGUCCACGCCGUAAACGAUGAGUGCUAAGUGUUAGGGGGUUUCCGCCCCUUAGUGCUGCAGCUAACGCAUUAAGCACUCCGCCUGGGGAGUACGGUCGCAAGACUGAAACUCAAAGGAAUUGACGGGGGCCCGCACAAGCGGUGGAGCAUGUGGUUUAAUUCGAAGCAACGCGAAGAACCUUACCAGGUCUUGACAUCCCGCUGACCGUUCUAGAGAUAGAUCUUUCCCUUCGGGGACAGCGGUGACAGGUGGUGCAUGGUUGUCGUCAGCUCGUGUCGUGAGAUGUUGGGUUAAGUCCCGCAACGAGCGCAACCCUUGAUCUUAGUUGCCAGCAUUUAGUUGGGCACUCUAAGGUGACUGCCGGUGAUAAACCGGAGGAAGGUGGGGAUGACGUCAAAUCAUCAUGCCCCUUAUGACCUGGGCUACACACGUGCUACAAUGGACGGUACAGAGGGUCGCAACCCCGCGAGGGUGAGCUAAUCCCAUAAAACCGUUCUCAGUUCGGAUUGUAGG
rnacentral:rRNA from 1 species